rnacentral:lncRNA from 1 species
UGGGUUUUUCUUAUUCGAUAACAUCCCUAAAGAAACAUUCAAGCGAUGCAAACUCUUGUUUGUGAACAAUGAAAUAUUCUAAGGAUCAAACUGCACCCCUUCCCUUCUAGUAAGUCAAAACAACAACAUUGAAAUUUUGAAUUUUAUUAUAUGGUGGCAUUCCUUUUUUUUUUUUUUUUGUAAACAGGCAUUUCAUUUAAAGUUGUCCUUUUAUCAUGCACGUUCUAUAGAAAUGUAUAUGCAUGCAUCAUGAUCAUCUAGAGUCAAAAUGAAUAAUUUUCUACGAACGGAAGUAUUCACAUUGAUACCGACAUGUUUUUAAACUUAGAUAGAACAUUAACAUAAAUCCACCUAAAUAGUUUUAUUUUUAUUUUAUUUUUUUGAGAAAAAAUCCACGUAAAUAGUUAUAGUUAUUUACAUAAAAAAUG